rnacentral:rRNA from 1 species
CCUACGUGUGGCAGCAGUGGGGAAUCUUGCACAAUGGGGGAAACCCUGAUGCAGCGAUGCCGCGUGGAGGAAGAAGGUUUUCGGAUUGUAAACUCCUUUUAUCAGGGACGAUAAUGACGGUACCUGAAGAAAAAGCUCCGGCUAACUACGUGCCAGCAGCCGCGGUAAUACGUAGGGAGCGAGCGUUAUCCGGAUUUAUUGGGUUUAAAGGGUGCGCAGGCGGAAGAUCAAGUCAGCGGUAAAAUUGAGAGGCUCAACCUCUUCGAGCCGUUGAAACUGGUUUUCUUGAGUGAGCGAGAAGUAUGCGGAAUGUGUGGUGUAGCGGUGAAAUGCAUAGAUAUCACGCAGAACUCCGAUUGCGAAGGCAGCAUACCGGCGCUCAACUGACGCUCAUGCACGAAAGUGUGGGUAUCGAACAGGAUUAGAUACCCGGGUAGUC